GAAAAAACAUGCAGUACUUCAUAAGUCAAAAACUCAACCUAAUAGAAAGGAUUUUGAUAAAAAAUGUGGCUCAAAUAAUCUGCCUCGUCAUGGUAUCAACAGCAGCAGCAACACCAAUGACAUGAAUUUGCAGGAAAGUUCAAGUGACUUGUCUUGCAUUAUUCCUUCAGCUCUUAAAUUUAGCAAUGAAAGUAAGAUAGAUUUUAAGAAACUACUUUUUACUGACAAGAGGAAGCCUGAAGAAACUGUUUAUGAUGCUGAUAUGGAGUUGACUGCAAGUGAUGCAGGUGUGCUACUGACAGUUACAGCGAAAGACAAAGAUAAAUUACACCAAAAUACAAAUAGUAGUGCCAGUUCUGCUAAAAUAUUAGCAAGUUUCAGAAAAGUAAAAUAUUCUAAGAUGAAUAAAGAGAAAAUCAAAAGCAAGAGUGAAGCCAGUUCAAAUCUGUAUGCAGAAGAAGGGCACACUAGGGCUGACAACAGUGAAAUUUCAAAAACUACUGACUCACAAAAUCAACCGUUCCAAAGUCAGACAGAACAGCUAUCUACAGGAAGUUCUUCAGGGAAACAGAGUUUGCUAAAUACCAGCAAAUAUUAUCAAGCACAAAAAUGUCCAAGUAAAGCUGAGGAUACUAGGAGGACAUACCAGGUUAUCUUAAGUCCAAGAAAACAGGAGACAAAGAACGAAACUUUUUCAGAAAUUUUUGAAGACAUGGAAAGCAAAAUACAAAAAGCAGACUCAAACUCAUCUAUUAAUAAGAUCCCACCAGAAAUUCAUUGUGCUGAAAAUUCGCCAUUCCAUGAAAACACUUCUAAUGUAUUGCCUUUACAACAGGACUUUCUGCAUGCAGAUGAGAAACAUAGCAGACCAGAAAAAAACAAGAAAACUUUUCAAAACCCUUCUAAAAUGAACACAGUGAAAUACUGCAGAGCGAAGAAUGGGCAGUAUGGAGAAUGUACUACAAAAAAGUCUCCAACAGAAGUACACCAACGUGACAGCAAGAGAAAACAGGACGAGAAGAAUAUUAUCAAGAGAAAAUACAACAAAAAAAAUAGUUACAGACAAAAUGGAGAAACUGAAAGUGACAGCAUUCAUAAAAUUACUCAGAAAGUAGACCAAAAGAGUAGCCAUUUUUCGCCAGGCAGAUUAAAACUUACACUGUCAAAGACUAGCCGGAAAGCAUAUAUAAUACCAAAACAAAAUCCAAACCAGUUCUCGCUUUGCAAAAAUGAAGAAUUAAAAAAUAAAGAUGCGUUGCUUGGAAAUAAAAUAACUGAAACUCAACAAAUGCAGGUAGCUAUAGUUACUCAGAAUGGUGUAACUAUGAAUACACCACAGGCUAAAGAACAAGUUGAUGAUGGUGCUAAUAUGUUUAAGGAAGUAGAUUCCUCAUCAGUGGCACAUAAAAGCCCUCACAUUAGUAAUUCUAAUAAUUGGGUAAAGCUCAAACAGAGGUUGAGUUCUGAUGUUACUGAGACCAGGCCAGAAGAAAAUUAUUUCAGGCAUAUUGAUCAGGGAAAGCAGAAAAUUUUGGAUGACCAGGAGGACCCUCAUGAGAGAGAUUCCUUUAUAAGCAAGUUAAAGCCUACAGUUCAAAAACCAGAAUUUUCAAAAUUCUUGCCUGUCAAGAGUUCUGAGAAUAUGCCAUUAAAUGUAGAUAGCUUUUUCCAGGAGGGUCUUUCCAAUGUGGACCUCCCAGCUCUUGAUAACCACAGUGUUUCCAUGAACUUCUCUAUACCGAAAAACUCUGGAAUCUAUGGGGAAAAUGAUCAUAAUAAAGCACUGGAUGCUGGAAAAGUAGAACAAAAACGGGAUCAUAUUUCUAAAGAGACUUACAGAAAGACUCUGACACCUUGUCACGGCAAAAAGGCUUUGCAAGAUCUGACAAAUACUAAUAUACAGUCUCGUACUUCCUUACCUAAAUCCCCCCAAACUUUAGAAGAAAACUCAGCAGCACCGUCUAGACGAGGAAGAGACACUGUUUGCUACAAAGAACCCAGUCUAAAAUGCAAACUAAGGCGUGGGGAUCAGUUUACAGAUGCACAAUUUCUGGUUUCCCCAGUCUCUAGAGUUAAAAAUAAAACAUGUUUUAAAAGUAAAUCAAAAUUUAUUUGAAGAAGACAAGAGAAUUGCCUUUAUGAACAUUACUUCUAAAAUGGGU
ensembl:lncRNA